UACGUAGGGGGCUAGCGUUGUCCGGAAUCAUUGGGCGUAAAGCGCGUGUAGGCGGCCCGGUAAGUCCGCUGUGAAAGUCGGGGGCUCAACCCUCGGAUGCCGGUGGAUACUGUCGGGCUCGAGUACGGAAGAGCGAGUGGAAUUCCUGGUGUAGCGGUGAAAUGCGCAGAUAUCAGGAGGAACACCAUUAUCGAAGGCAGCUCGCUGGGACGUAACUGACGCUGAGACGCGAAAGCGUGGGGAGCAAACAGG
rnacentral:rRNA from 1 species